rnacentral:lncRNA from 1 species
CUGGAGGCAGGGAGGGCACAAGGCCUCUGGGUGUAUACCAUCUGGAGGCAGGGAGAGCACAGGGCCUCUGGGUGUAUACCAUCUGGAGGCAGGGAGAGCACAGGGCCUCUGGGUGUAUACCAUCUGGAGGCAGGGAGAGCACAGGGCCUCUGCAUGUAUACCAUCUGGAGGCAGGGCUGGGGUGGGACCUGAGCUUUCAAAUCAUGAACUGUGUUUUCUCUCUUGACACAAUCUCAAGAGUCUACCCCGUGGACCUGAGUCUCCAUCAGCUCCAUCACUAAAAGGGAUGGGAUGCAAAAAAAAAGGGGGGGGGGUGACCUAUGACGAGAGAGACUGGAGCCCACAGAAGCUGUGGGAUUCUGAAGGCCUCUGGGGGCAGGCAGGAGGGGAGGGAGCUCAUCCACGGGUUCCCUGGCUUCUAGAGCACAUCAGAUGGCCUCCAGUUAAAGACGGGCCUUAGAUUCCCAGAUGAAUUUUCCUUGUGGAAAUAAAUGCGCUUGGCAGUGCCUCGUGGCAGGGAAGUGACCACAGAUCAUCUCCGUCCACAUUUCACUCUAGAAACAUUAGGGUCCAUGGGGCAGCAGCUGUGGGCUUCCUGGGAGCGCUUUGCCAAUUUAGCAUCUGGUGGGUUUAUGCAUAUGACUGGGUGGCUGCCUCUUCAGCUGCCUUUGGGGAUGAGCCUCUGGGUCGAGCACUCCUGGCCCAGGCACUGUAGCCUGCCUUGGCUAUGGAGAGCGGUCGCUCUGAGGAGAAAAGACUGAAGUGACAGGAGCCAGCUGCUGUGGAGUGGCUGUGACAGCUGUAGCUGUGAACUGGAGAACUGUGAAGAUCCUCCUAGGGGAACUGGAGAUGCACUCACUUGCUGGGAGACGGACAAUCUGUGUGGCUCUGUGCCAUUCAGCUGCCAUAAGACUGCGAUGGUCUAGAGGGGAGGAUACAGUCUCAUAGACCACAGAGCCCUGUGCCAGACUGGACUGGAGACCAGCCUCCUUUCUGACGUCCCACCCAGUCUCCCACUCCAGGAUCUGUGUUGCUGAAAGGGUAGAAACUGCAGUCACUGUGGUCCCUGGGAAAUGGAGAAGCUCAAAGUUGCCGUUGGUCUCUGGUUAGCUCCACAUGGCCAUCCUGGUCCACCCAUAGCCUUCAGGGAGAAGCAUCGUGGUCAGAGCCCAGGCUAUUAUUGUGCUGGGACAAGAGAGGUCCCCAGUUUUGCCAGUUCCACCAGGACUCCAGUGAGGCCUGGUCUUCCACAUAUAUGUGUGCUUAAACUUAGUAUGCUGAUGAAGGCCGAUGCUUUGGAGUGUGACUCCACCCUGACCUCCCCGAGGUGGGCACUUACCAGCCAUAGCAUCAACACAGAGGACACUGCGAACUGCAGGAUGUCCUCGGGGAGGGGGACAUCAGAUUGGGUUGGUUACUGUCAUAGGCAGAAGGAAGCCCAAGCCCUAGCCGAGGCUGAGUUCUGCCCUCUCCCCAGUUUGGCACUGGAUCCUGUGCCUUCCUGCAUCACCAGGGAAUUCACCACCUUAAACACGGCGGACAC